UACGGAGGGUGCGAGCGUUGUCCGGAAUCAUUGGGCGUAAAGGGCGCGUAGGCGGCGCGGUAAGCGUGCGGUGAAAGCCCGGGGCUCAACCCCGGGUCGGCCGUGCGGACUGCCGGGCUGGAGCACUGUAGAGGCAGGUGGAAUUCCGGGUGUAGCGGUGGAAUGCGUAGAGAUCCGGAAGAGCACCGGUGGCGAAGGCGGCCUGCUGGGCAGUAGCUGACGCUGAAGCGCGACAGCGUGGGGAGCAAACAGG
rnacentral:rRNA from 1 species